rnacentral:pre_miRNA from 1 species
UAGGGUGACCAACCAUCUUGGUUUGCCUGGGAUUGAGGGGGUUCCCAGGAUGCUGGACUUUCAGUUUUUAAACCAGGAAAGUCCUGGGCAAACUAGGAUGAGUUGGUCAGCCUGAGCCAUC